rnacentral:rRNA from 1 species
UACGUAGGUGGCAAGCGUUGUCCGGAAUUAUUGGGCGUAAAGCGCGCGCAGGCGGUCCUUUAAGUCUGAUGUGAAAGCCCACGGCUCAACCGUGGAGGGUCAUUGGAAACUGGGGGACUUGAGUGCAGGAGAGAAGAGUGGAAUUCCACGUGUAGCGGUGAAAUGCGUAGAGAUGUGGAGGAACACCAGUGGCGAAGGCGGGUCUCUGGGCCGUAACUGACGCUGAGGAGCGAAAGCGUGGGGAGCGAACAGG